ensembl:lncRNA
GCAGCUGAGCCUCUCUCAAAGCCCGCCCAAAGGAAGGCGGCGUCCAAGGCUCCAAAAGUGAAGAGGAAGAGGUGCUUGUCCAAGGACCAGGGCAACACCAGCAGCACCCUCCUGUUCCAGGCCCCCCGCGGGGCCCCGAAGGCCGGAGAAUGCAGCUUCACGGAGCCGCUCUCCCUGCAGCAUAAACCAUCCACGGUGUGGAGCCCGGGCCCCCUUCGUGGCAGCGGUGGACUGCUGUCCUCCCCAGUCCGGGCCCUCGGCCUCAACCUGUCCUCCGUGCUGGCACACUUCACGCCCAACACGCACACCUGGAGCCGACUGAAGGCGUCCCUCUCCGUGCACCGCAAGAAGAGAGUCGUGGUCAAUCUCGAAGACUCCUUCAGUAGGGACAUCAGCACGGAGCUCUUUGCCACGUCCACUCAAACCCCAUCCCGGGAAUAUAGCAGGGCCUCGCUGCUGCUCAGCCCCCCUCAGGUACGCACACACUGACCAACCCCUAAUGUUUGUAGUUAUUUAUUGUACAUUUGUUUACAGAAUACCAUUGGUGCACCUGUACCAUACACCUAUCCUAAAAGCAUCAAAGUAUUUGUGUAUUCCACUAGAAUAAAUCUAGACAUCAACCCCUGCGUCUGGCUCAACCCUCUCCCUCACCUCUCCCCCCUCUGGCUCUCCCCUCUCCCUGCCUCCCUCUGGCUCUCCCUCCCCCCUCUGGCUCCCCCCUCUCCCUCACCUCUCCCCC